UACGAAGGGGGCUAGCGUUGCUCGGAAUCACUGGGCGUAAAGGGUGCGUAGGCGGGGCUUUAAGUCAGGGGUGAAAUCCUGGAGCUCAACUCCAGAACUGCCUUUGAUACUGAGGAUCUUGAGUCCGGGAGAGGUGAGUGGAACUGCGAGUGUAGAGGUGAAAUUCGUAGAUAUUCGCAAGAACACCAGUGGCGAAGGCGGCUCACUGGCCCGGUACUGACGCUGAGGCGCGAAAGCGUGGGGAGCAAACAGG
rnacentral:rRNA from 1 species